AGAUUGAACGCUAGCGGGAUGCUUUACACAUGCAAGUCGAACGGCAGCGCGGACUUCGGUCUGGCGGCGAGUGGCGAACGGGUGAGUAAUAUAUCGGAACGUGCCCAGUAGCGGGGGAUAACUACGCGAAAGCGUGGCUAAUACCGCAUACGCCCUACGGGGGAAAGGGGGGGAUUCUUCGGAACCUCUCACUAUUGGAGCGGCCGAUAUCAGAUUAGCUAGUUGGUGAGGUAAAGGCUCACCAAGGCGACGAUCUGUAGCUGGUUUGAGAGGACGACCAGCCACACUGGGACUGAGACACGGCCCAGACUCCUACGGGAGCAGCAGUGGGAAUUUUGGACAAUGGGGGAAACCCUGGAUCCAGCCAUCCCGCGU
rnacentral:rRNA from 1 species